rnacentral:piRNA from 1 species
AGGACCCAUUCCUUAGGGCAGUGCCUCUAGC